UAAUACGAACUGUGCGAACGUUAUUCGGAAUCACUGGGCUUACAGGGUGCGUAGGCGGCCGAACAAGUCAGGUGUGAAAGCCCUCGGCUCAACCGAGGAACUGCGCUUGAAACUGUUUGGCUCGAGUCAACUAGAGGUGCACGGAACUUCCAGUGGAGCGGUGAAAUGUGUUGAUAUUGGAAGGAACACCGGAGGCGAAAGCGGUGCACUGGGGUUGGUCUGACGCUGAGGCACGAAAGCCAGGGGAGCGAACGGGAUUAGAUACCCCGGUAGUCCUGGCCGUAAACGAUGAGUGCUGGACGGGAGGGGGUUCGCCCUUUCCGGUCGGAGCGAAAGCGGGAAGCACUCCGCCUGGGGAGUAUGGUCGCAAGGCUG
rnacentral:rRNA from 1 species